CCUACGGGCGGCAGCAGUGAGGAAUAUUGGUCAAUGGGCGGAAGCCUGAACCAGCCAAGUCGCGUGAGGGAUUAAGGCCCUGCGGGUCGUAAACCUCUUUUGCCGGGGAGCAGAGGUCCGGACGUGUCCGGGCCGGGAGAGUACCCGGAGAAAAAGCAUCGGCUAACUCCGUGCCAGCAGCCGCGGUAAUACGGAGGAUGCGAGCGUUAGCCGGAUUUAUGGGGUUAAAAGGGUGCGUAGGCGGGCAGUUAAGCCGUCGGUCAAAUGGCGGGGCUCAACCCCGGCCGGCCGUCGGGACGGGGUGCCUUGAGUGGGCGAGAAGUAUGCGGAAUGCGUGGUGUAGCGGUGAAAUGCAUAGAUAUCACGCAGAACCCCGAUUGCGAAGGCAGCAUACCGGCGCCCUACUGACGCUGAGGUACGAAAGUGCGGGUAUCGAACAGGAUUAGAUACCCGGGUAGUC
rnacentral:rRNA from 1 species